rnacentral:rRNA from 1 species
AGAGUUUGAUCAUGGCUCAGAACGAACGCUGGCGGCAGGCUUAACACAUGCAAGUCGAACGCACCCUUCGGGGUGAGUGGCAGACGGGUGAGUAACACGUGGGAACGUGCCCUUCAGUUCGGAAUAACCCAGGGAAACUUGGGCUAAUACCGGAUACGCCCUUUUUGGGGAAAGAUUGAUCGCUGAAGGAUCGGCCCGCGUCUGAUUAGCUGGUUGGUGAGGUAAAGGCUCACCAAGGCGACGAUCAGUAGCUGGUCUGAGAGGAUGAUCAGCCACACUGGGACUGAGACACGGCCCAGACUCCUACGGGAGGCAGCAGUGGGGAAUAUUGGACAAUGGGCGCAAGCCUGAUCCAGCCAUGCCGCGUGAGUGAUGAAGGCCUUAGGGUUGUAAAGCUCUUUCGGCGGGGACGAUAAUGACGGUACCCGCAGAAGAAGCCCCGGCUAACUUCGUGCCAGCAGCCGCGGUAAUACGAAGGGGGCUAGCGUUGUUCGGAAUCACUGGGCGUAAAGGGCGCGUAGGCGGCUUUGUCAGUCGGGGGUGAAAGCCUGUGGCUCAACCACAGAAUUGCCUUCGAUACUGCAAGGCUUGAGACCGGAAGAGGUCAGUGGAACUGCGAGUGUAGAGGUGAAAUUCGUAGAUAUUCGCAAGAACACCAGUGGCGAAGCGGCUGACUGGUCCGGAUCUGACGCUGAGCGCGAAAGCGUGGGGAGCAAACAGGAUUAGAUACCCUAGUAGUCC